GUUUCUCUCUGUCUCAGAUUAGCCAUGCAUGUCUCAGUACAUGCCGAAUUAAGGUGAAACCGCGAAUGGCUCAUUAAAUCAGUUAUGGUUCAUUAGAUCGUGGACACAUUUACUUGGAUAACUGUGGUAAUUCUAGAGCUAAUACAUGCAAACAGAAUUCCUCUCAGAGAUGGGAGGAAUGCUUUUAUUAGAUCAAAACCAAUCGGUGGCGGACGGCUCGUCCGUUCGUCCAUCGUUUGUUUUGGUGACUCUGAAUAACUUUGUGCUGAUCGCAUGGUCAUCUAGCACCGGCGACGCAUCUUUCAAAUGUCUGCCUUAUCAACUGUCGAUGGUAGGUUCUGCGCCUACCAUGGUUGUAACGGGUAACGGGGAAUCAGGGUUCGAUUCCGGAGAGGGAGCCUGAGAAACAGCUACCACAUCCAAGGAAGGCAGCAGGCGCGCAAAUUACCCACUCCCGGCACGGGGAGGUAGUGACGAAAAAUAACGAUACGGGACUCAUCCGAGGCCCCGUAAUCGGAAUGAGUACACUUUAAAUCCUUUAACGAGGACCAAUUGGAGGGCAAGUCUGGUGCCAGCAGCCGCGGUAAUUCCAGCUCCAAUAGCGUAUAUUAAAGUUGUUGCGGUUAAAAAGCUCGUAGUUGAAUCUGUGUGUCACAGUGUCGGUUCACCGCUCGCGGUGUUUAACUGGCAUUAUGUGGUACGUCCUAUCGGUGGGCUUAGCUCCUUGCGGGCGGUCCAACUAAUAUCCCAUCGCGGUGCUCUUCACUGAUGUCGAAGGUGGGCCGAUACGUUUACUUUGAAAAAAUUAAAGUGCUUAAAGCAAGCUACCUUUGCCUGAAUUACUGUGUGCAUGGAAUUAUGGAAUAGGACCUUCGGUUUUAUUUUUGUUGGUUUUCGGAACCCCGAGGUAUAUGAUUAAUAGGGAACAUAAUGGGGGCAUUCUAUAUGCCACUUUAAAGGUGAAAUUCCUUGGGACCGCCCCAAGACGACGAAGCGAUGCAUUGCCAAAAUGUUUUUCUUAUACCCGACCGAAGUUAAGUCUGAAAGCGCAUCGAUCCGUCCUAUUUUACUCUACGAGCCGCAUCGUAUCGCCGAGAUUCUCGAUGACUCUGGCGCCUUUCGGGAAACAAGCUUUUGUUCGGGAAAUUGGUUUCA
rnacentral:rRNA from 1 species